GUGUCAGCAGCCGCGGUAAUACGUAGGUGGCGAGCGUUAUCCGGAUUUACUGGGCGUAAAGAGUGCGUAGGCGGUUCUUUAAGUCGGAUGUGAAAUCUCCCGGCUUAACCGGGAGGGGUCAUUCGAAACUGUUGGACUAGAGGACAGCAGGGGGAGGUGGAAUUCCCGGUGUAGUGGUGAAAUGCGUAGAUAUCGGGAGGAACACCAGUGGCGAAGGCGGCCUCCUGGGCUGUUUCUGACGCUGAGGCUCGAAAGUGUGGGGAGCGAACAGGAUUAGAUACCCUGGUAGUCCACACUGUAAACGAUGGACACUAGGUAUGGGGAGUAUCGACCCUCUCUGUGCCGAAGCUAACGCUUUAAGUGUCCCGCCUGGGGACUACGGCCGCAAGGCUAAAACUCAAAUGAAUUGACGGGG
rnacentral:rRNA from 1 species